rnacentral:rRNA from 1 species
ACGAACGCUGGCGGCGUGCUUAACACAUGCAAGUCGAACGGAAAGGCCCUGCUUUUGUGGGGUGCUCGAGGGGCGAACGGGUGAUUAACACGUGAGUAACCUGCCCUUGACUUUGGGAUAACUUCAGGAAACUGGGGCUAAUACCGGAUAGGAGCUCCUGCUGCAUGGUGGGGGUUGGAAAGUUUCGGCGGUUGGGGAUGGACUCGCGGCUUAUCAGCUUGGUGGUGGGGUAGUGGCUUACCAAGGCUUUGACGGGUAGCCGGCCUGAGAGGGUGACCGGCCACAUUGGGACUGAGAUACGGCCCAGACUCCUACGGGAGGCAGCAGUGGGGAAUAUUGCACAAUGGGCGGAAGCCUGAUGCAGCAACGCCGCGUGCGGGAUGACGGCCUUCGGGUUGUAAACCGCUUUCGCCUGUGACGAAGCGUGAGUGACGGUAAUGGGUAAAGAAGCACCGGCUAACUACGUG